AGAGUUUGAUCAUGGCUCAGAUUGAACGCUGGCGGCAUGCCUUACACAUGCAAGUCGAACGGCAGGCGGGCCUUCGGGUGCCGGCGAGUGGCGAACGGGUGAGUAAUGCAUCGGAACGUGCCAUUGAGUGGGGAUAACGUAGCGAAAGUUACGCUAAUACCGCAUAUUCUGUGAGCAGGAAAGCAGGGGGACCGCAAGGCCUUGCGCUCUUUGAGCGGCCGAUGUCAGAUUAGCUAGUUGGUGAGGUAAAGGCUUACCAAGGCGACGAUCUGUAGCGGGUCUGAGAGGAUGAUCCGCCACACUGGAACUGAGACACGGCCCAGACUCCUACGGGAGGCAGCAGUGGGGAAUAUUGGACAAUGGGCGAAAGCCUGAUCCAGCAAUGCCGCGUGAGUGAUGAAGGCCUUAGGUUGUAAAGCUCUUUACCAGGGAUGAUAAUGACAGUACCUGGAGAAUAAGCUCCGGCUAACUCCGUG
rnacentral:rRNA from 1 species